rnacentral:rRNA from 1 species
UGGGGAAUUUUGGACAAUGGGGGAAACCCUGAUCCAGCCAUCCCGCGUGUGCGAUGAAGGCCUUCGGGUUGUAAAGCACUUUUGGCAGGAAAGAAACGUCGCGGGUUAAUACCCCGCGAAACUGACGGUACCUGCAGAAUAAGCACCGGCUAACUACGUGCCAGCAGCCGCGGUAAUACGUAGGGUGCAAGCGUUAAUCGGAAUUACUGGGCGUAAAGCGUGCGCAGGCGGUUCGGAAAGAAAGAUGUGAAAUCCCAGAGCUUAACUUUGGAACUGCAUUUUUAACUACCGGGCUAGAGUGUGUCAGAGGGAGGUGGAAUUCCGCGUGUAGCAGUGAAAUGCGUAGAUAUGCGGAGGAACACCGAUGGCGAAGGCAGCCUCCUGGGAUAACACUGACGCUCAUGCACGAAAGCGUGGGGAGCAAACAGGAUUAGAUACCCUGGUAGUCCACGCCCUAAACGAUGUCAACUAGCUGUUGGGGGCCUUCGGGCCUUGGUAGCGCAGCUAACGCGUGAAGUUGACCGCCUGGGGAGUACGGUCGCAAGAUUAAAACUUAAAUGAAUUGACGGGGGUGCAUAGCUGUUUCCCU